rnacentral:lncRNA from 1 species
AGGAGAAGAUUAACAUGCCAAAGAUAAGGUUACUUGCCCAAAGUUACAGAACUGUGCAAUGGCUGAGAACUGUGCAGUGGCUGAGAUGAUUCAAGACCCAGCUGUGCUGUUUCCUGGAAAGCCUUCUCAGAAUUCAUGGAGGGUAGGAAGAUCAAGGCACCGCUGCAUUAGCAAGAUCCUGAAGAAUGCACUGUUUCUCAUACCCAUAAAAAGAAUCCUUUACAUUUUCUGCAUUAACCUUUUUAUACUGAGCACCCAUAUGGCAAGUCUCACCCAGGAGGAAGGGAAAGAAUAGAUUUGAGGCAGCUAAAGCCAAGAUGCUGACCCUGCUCCAGCUGGAAAUGUUCCUCUCACCUGUUUCUCUCAAUUCAGAUGCUAAUGGACAAGUGGUCUAUUAAGGAAAAGGAAAACCAGUUGCCUCAUGAAGCAAAAAAUCCAACUACAGUAGCUCAGACGGCUCACAGAAUUGUUGCUGUUGGUAACAUACAUCUCUAUUUGUGUCACAGAAUCUGCCCUAGUAUGGUACUUCUCAAACUUUAGCAAAUAAUGUCAUUACCCAGAAAGCUUAUUAAGCAGAGUCCUGGGCCCCAAACCUCAGAGUUCGUAAUUUAGUGAGUCUUGGGUGGGACUCAAUAAUUUGCAUUUCAAGCAAGUGGCCAGGUGAUGCUGCUGCUGCUGAUCUGGGUACUAGAGAUUGAAUACCAUUGCUAUAGGUCAAAAAUUCUCUCAAGCACAGGCAGUUUCCACUCUCCUGAGGAUAGUGGGAAGCCUUCAUCUUUGAGUUGCCAUGAUAGUCUGCUAGCACUUCUGAUGGGCUGAAGAUAUUUACAGACAAAAAUAUGUGAAACUGCAGCCUGGCAUGUCAGAGAGAACCCUGUGUUAGGAUUGUUGGGUUGUAAUUCAUCUCUAUGAUUGACUUGUUUUGUAACCUUGGAGAAGCCAUUUUCAUCAUUCGGGGUCUCAGGCUUCUGACACCCUAAAGAAAAUCCAAGCAUUAGAUGGCUGGUCAGUUAGUUGGCCUUUAAGGAAUCUAAAAACAUUGAACUAAUAGAAACAGAGUAAAACAGUCGUUGCCAGGGGCUAGAAGGUGGGGAAAAUGGUGAGAUGUUGGUCAAAGGAUACAAACAUCCAAUUAUAAGAUGAAUAAGUUAUAAGGAUUUAAUGUAAAACUUGGUGAUUAUUGUUAAUAAUAUUAUAUUGUUUACUUCAAAUUUGAUAAGAAGAUUUUAAGUGUCCUUACUACAAACACACAGAAAGCAAAAACGGUAACUAUGGGUAUCAAUGGAUGUGUUAAUUUCGUUCUGGUCAUGAUUAUACAGUGUACAUGUAUGCCUAAUUAUCACAUUGUACAACUCGAAUAUAUAUAUAAUACUAUAUAAAUAUAUAUGAAUAUUAAUAUAUAUAAAUGUAUA